rnacentral:lncRNA from 1 species
UUCUUGUUGCUGCGUUGGUGGUAGCGGUGGUGGUCAAAUGCCUUAAUAGCUAAUGGCAGACUGCACCUAUUUAGAUCCAGCAUUCCGCUAGUUUCUAAAAGGAGCUGGUUGAACCAUGCGUUCUAAUUUGUUCAGUUAUGUAUUUUGCAGAGUGGGAUGACAAGGAAGGAGGUAAAGAAGCCUUGCAGCAGUGGGAGGAUGAUUGGGACGACGAUGAUACCAAUGAUGACUUCUCUCUGCAGCUGAGGAGGGAGCUGGAGAACAACUCAGAGAAGAGUUGAAUUUUCUCUUCAUGUACGGACGCUAGCAGACGUGAAAUACAUGGUGGUAAAUUCGGAUUCAUAUCAUUAAAACAUAUUAUACAUCACAAUUUUUAAUAUAUAGCAUGUUUCCAUUCUGAAAUUUUCAUAUCAUUUUUGCUUUUGUAUUUUAUAUGACUGAAUAUUCACCAAAAAAAAAGAAAAAGACUGAACCAUGGGUGCAGGCUUGCACAGGUUUCAAGCACCUAGUUUGUUGCCCCGGUGGCACAAAAUUGAGUGUUUGUGUAACAACAAAUUCAGAUGCAACAAACAGGGAGGAUGCCCUAUUGGUUCAUCAUGGCAUCCAGGGAUUAUGAUUGUUGGUAAUACUAUCUGGGGUGGGCUUGUUCGGUUUCAGACAAAUUUAAUUAUAAGAUUCAAUAAUGUUAAAAACUGAAUUCAAAGAGGUGUUGGAUAGUUCCAAAGAUGUUAAUAAGGAUCUUCAUAUCAGGUUCAUGUUACUUGGAAACCUGUAGAGAGCUCAAGGUCGCUUGUCAGUGGUUUUUCUCCUACCUCUGUUGACCAGUUGGCCUGCCCCUGGAUGCAGUAUGCCUGGCUGGUUCCGGUGAACUGCAGGGGCUGUCGGACAAGUAUCCAGUGACUGCCCUGAUCAAUACCUUCCUUGAUUUCUGUUAAGCACCCAUGCGAGUCAUAGGUAUCGUAUUGGACUGUCAUGCAGGUUCCUGUGGUUCACUAGAACCUGUAAGGUGAACCAUGUCCCCUUCGAAGUAACCCAACCAAAUCAUGUUAGGCUGAGGAAUAGGUUCGCUUCGCUGCUGGCAAGUGCAACCCAAGAUGAAUGGUGAUUGGGGCUGUUUGUGAGAUUCGUAACACUGGUUACUUCAGCACUGCUUGAGGGUGUGCUUGCACUAGCGGCAAGGCAAACCGAUUUCUUUUUGGCCAAUGAUACUACACACCAAUUGCCUCUAAGCAGCUUGCUAGACUCAGUUUGGAUCAAACUUGUUUAUCUUAGAGAUUGGGAGGGAUGGAUUCCUGCCCUUCUAUUCUAAAGUUGACCGCAACUGGAAUUGAACCCCCGCCCUCUUACCUAGGUGGCAAGGGUGAUAUCAUCCGAGCAAGUGGUUGGUGCUUUUAUCAGACAUGUAUUGAAAUGAGAUAAGUUUGCUGCAUCCAACAACCUAAUCAAACUUGGGUUUCGGGAUGUUGCUCCACUCUAACGUGCUGGUAGUGGCUAUACUCGUGUAUCUAUUUGAUUUCUCUUUAAUACAAAUAUUCUCGCUUGUAAUAUAACACGUGAAAGGACCGCGAAGUAUAUCAAGCGUAACGCCCCCCCUCCCCAAAUGAGUCAAUGCAAUAACCAAGAUACUUGAUAUGGCGGGAAUUGAACCCAUGAUAUCUAGCAAAUAUGGUGGGAAUUAGACCCAUGAUAUCUAGCAAACCUGAGCUCCGAUACCAUGUUGGCUAAUCAACUGACAACAAAAAAUUGAGCUAAUAGGGGAUGGGUCAAUAAUAUAUCUCAGGCUUAACACUCUCAAUCGUAUGUGGCGUGGAUGAUGCACAUGGAGGCAAAUCAAAUUAUGAUAUCAUUUGAUAAGGGGAUAAAUGGGGAGUUUGAGUCCCACUUGGAGAGGCUUGAUAGACAAGUUGAAACCUAAUUCAAUUUUAAAAACUCAAUCUAUCUACUUUUCACUAAUUGUUCUAUGUGGGACUAAAUUUCAUGCAUGAUCCUUGUGAGUCAAUUUAACUAUCUCGAG